rnacentral:rRNA from 1 species
UACGGAGGGUGCGAGCGUUAAUCGGAAUUACUGGGCGUAAAGGGUGCGUAGGUGGUUUGAUAAGUUAGCUGUGAAAUUCCUGGGCUUAACCUGGGGCGGUCAGCUAAGACUGUUAGACUAGAGUAUGGGAGAGGGUAGUGGAAUUUCCGGUGUAGCGGUGAAAUGCGUAGAGAUCGGAAGGAACAUCGGUGGCGAAGGCGGCUACCUGGCCUAAUACUGACACUGAGGCACGAAAGCGUGGGGAGCAAACAGG